GCCCGUGGGCGCGUGGGAAACGUCCAGUGCGCUUCUUUAUCAUGGCGGACGCUAAGUCAGGGCCGCAGGCGGGUGAGGGUUUGGCCACUGCCGCUGCUCUCCGACGCUGCAGGGCAGGAGCGGUCGAGCGCCGCUGGGAGAGCGAACGAGGCGGAGAACACACUAGGAUGAGAAGGCGGCAGCUGCAGCAGAAGUAUGUUCUAGAAGCUAGUAUCUGCAACUGAAGAGCCAGAUGUCCUGUGUAAACCCGUUGUUUUUCCCACAGCAGAGGCUGAAGCACCCCAUACAUCUGAAGCCAGGUUGCCCUUAGGUCCUGUGACUGUGCUGGGGACAGGGCAGCUGUUGCUACUGUUACUGGGAUAACCUUUCUGCACUUGGACAUUCACCCUUAAAGUCCUGAGCUGCCAUGUAAGAAGUCCAUUACCCUGCAGUUGCCAUGCUGUGAGAAGGCCGAGGCCUAAGGUUGUAAGAAGCCUACAACUUUUGCCUUGGUCUUGAGCCCUCAGCAACCAUGUAAAAAGUCUGACCACACCUGCUAGAGAGACCAGAUGAAGAGGCCCUGAGAUGACAUGGGGAGAGAGAGAGAAACCCAGCUGAACCCAGCUUUCCAGUUAUCCCCACCAAGGUGCCAGGUAUGAAGGAAGCCAUCCUGAACCCUCCAGACCAACUUAUCCAACCAGCUGGAUACCACUGAGUGACCCCAGUAGAUGCCAUAUGGAGCAGAAGAAUUGUCCACAGAAACUAAGUACUGGAUCUGUACCCCGCAGGAGGAUGUGUGGUGGGUUGAGUUGGUGGUGGAUGGCUGGUUUGCACCAUGAAGUCACUUUGAUUUCACCUUUGACAGCUGCAGACUUCCACAUGCUGAUUGCUUGCUUCAUUUUAUCAGUGUUUUACAGAAAGGGGUGUAUUUAUGAAAUGAUAAGACUAUUAAACUCUCAGUGGCUUCAUCCCAGCAGAGAGCAGGAAUGCUGCUUGCCGUGUGAACUCUGCGGCCUCAGUUUCCUCAUUUGUGGUGACAGCUCCCUCAUAAGAUCUUUGUGAAGAUUUGAAGAGACACCAUAGGCAUGAGUAUUAUGUCCAACAUGUUUAUUGUACUUUCCUCCUUAACUUUCCACUCUGUACCUUUUGGGCCUCUUGAGUUCUCAUCUGUGAACCUACAUGCAAUAAUAGUAGGACUGACUUCCAAGGGGUUGUGAGGAAUGGGUGUGAGAAUUCAAGUGAAGCACCAAGGAGACUGCCUGACACAGAGUAGGGACACCAUAAGCAGUGGCUGUUAUUAAUAUUACUAUAUGAACGUAGUGAGGUGAAACUAUAGUUUCCUUUCACUGAGAGAAACUGUUGAUAGAAAUCAAAGAGCUAGUCCAAAGAGCCACCAACAUAAGGCAGGUAAGCAGGAUCUUGCUGAAGGUUUGGGACAGUGGGGAGAAUUCAUUCCAGCACAGUAGUCAUCAUGAAAGAGAAUCUCAGAACUGUGUGCCUGUUAUGCCCCAACUUUUAUACAAAAACAACACAAAUAUAUAUGUUUGUGUUUGUAUAAAAGUAGAUUUGGAAGGACACACACCAGACUGGAUGGGGAGCUGGGGAACUUUCACUUUUACUUUUGCCUCUUCUGUGUUUGAAAGCUGUUUCUUUUUAAUUGAGCAUGUGCUACACUAAACAAUGUUAAAAGAAAUUAUUUUUUUAAAAGGUCAGCCAAUAAAAAAUUAACCAAUCGGCAACUUACACCAAAGAAUAUCAGGACAAUUUCUCUCAAAUUUCUCUUCCAUUCAGCUUCCUGCCUGGCAUUUGGGCUCCCUCACCUCCUUGGUGCAGUGAGGAGCUUCCAUUCUCCAAAGUUUCUGAGUUAUCUUUAUGCAGAGAAUUUGAGCUACUACUCUUCCUUUAGACCCAGGCCAUCUCAGCUGGGUCCAGAGAGCCUCACUCACCUCCCUAAGCACGUAUCCCUGCAGGUGUAUUCCUAAUGCAAAGACACUUCCUGUUCUGAGAAGAAUUAUUUGGUUAGCACAUAAAGGGAUUAUUCUCCCCCGCCCCUGUAGCUCAAGUCUACUGACUUUAAUUAAAUUCUCUGUGAAGAGACUAGGAAGGAGGGUUUAGGUAAUGCACCCACAAGGAUGCUCAGAGAGUUUGAAGAGAAGCGUUUGGUGCAGUUAUGAUGGUAUUCUAUGGCACAGCACUUACAGUGCACCAGGCACUCUUUUAAAGACUUUGCAAAUGUUCCUUCAUUUAAUUCUCACCACAGUCCUAUGAGAGACUUCCUGUUAAUAUCUCCAUUUUACUGAUAAAGAAGCUGAAGCGCACAGCAAGGUUAACUACCUUGCCCAAGUUCACACAGGUAGUGAGGAAAGGGCCCCAGAGGUUCAGGAAUGCCCAAAUCAUGUUCCUCUUCUUCUUAUCCAGGCACCCAACCCCUCCACAGGCAACCUGACUGGCCACCUUUACACAAAGUACAGUAUUCAGAUUGGAAUCUAAAUAUAGCACAGUGCCUGACUCCCAAAAGCUGGAUUAAGGAGCAUGGCUUAGUUGGUACAGUAGAGCAAAAUGUCCUGCAUGUUGAAACUAGAUUUGUGGUUAUCUUUCUCUUCAUCAAGAAGUCAUUGAGAGUUGUUAUAUCCCCCAUAAAAGGAGAAUUUAGGGUAGCCAAAUAAAAAAGGGGGUGAUGUAGUCUCAUUACAGAAAAAGAGAGUACGGUUAGUCUUUUUGUAGUUGAGUACCUCAAGAUGUGGUAUUCAGCCAGGGUGAAGGUAAAGUGGUUGGGGAUGUGGAUCUGAAGGUUUACAGAAGCCUGUAUCCAUUUGAGACUCAAUUUUGCCAUUGGUCUUCAGCCGGAGAAGUGUCUGCAUCUGCUGGGAAGAAAAAGUGUUGCUGUGAUCAGUAAUUGCCCCAGUUGUCAAAGGUGCACCAGGUCCAGAAGGCUCAGUAUUUUGGAGGCAAACCUUCCCAGGCAGUUUGCUUCACUGAAGUUAGAACCUCUUCCAUUUCUAUACUUCAGAAAUGAUGCCUGAGAAUUUUCAGGUCACCAUGAUACAUGUUUCCCCAGCAUCACCCUCUGCACACUGAAGAAAUAGGGAAUCAGGAGACAUCUAAUAGAGAGGGGCUGGGAGUUCUUUCUGCAUUUCAGCUGUUUCCAGCUGGUGGGGAAGUGCUCAAGUAUCUGUGGUCAGGUAGAUCAGUCAUACUUCAAAUCAGGGAGGGAAGAGAAUGGACUCUCCUAUACCGGUUAGCAGUAGUCCAGGCAAGAGGUUGUUGUGGCUUACACGAGGCUGGUGGCGAGGGAGAUGGAAAGAGGUGGAUAGAUGCAAGAAAUAUUUUGGAGGUAGAAUUAUGGGACUUGCUGACACGGAUGGUGAAGGAGAGUUCAGAGAUAAUACUCAUCUUAAGAUUUGGUUGAACAGCUGGUAAAUGAUAAUGUCAUUCGCUGAAAGGAAACCGAAGGAAGAAGAGAUUUUCAAGAGCUCUUUUGACUCUGUUCAGUUUGAGUUGCCUACUAUAAUUCUAAGUGAACAUGUUGAGUAGACAAUGGGUUGUAUGAGUCUGGAGUUCAUAGAAAAGGUCAGAGUUGAACAUGUAAAUGUGAGAAAUGAUAUGAAAUACUAUGGAAAAUGGAUAAUAAAACAUGUAGAACUGAACGAUCAUGAAAAAUCUGCUUUUCGUCCAAGCUUGUCAAAUGCAACUCUAGCAGAACUGAAAGGCAAAUUUAAGGCCAAAGUGCAUAUAUUUAAGCGAAAAAAGACUAAAAAUAUAUACAGUAAAUGUUCAAUAUGAUAAUUUAGGUAAGGUAGAAGGAGGAUCUAAUGAAUAGUAGAAAUUAAUGAAAUAGAAAGCAAAUCAUAGAAAAAUGAGCUAAACCAAAAGUAAAUUUGUGUGAAAGACUGAUUAAAAAAAAUCUAGAAAAAUUGACCCAGAAUAAAAAGAGACACACAAAUAAAAAAUAUUU